GCCUGGGUGGCUCAGUCGUUGAGUGUCUGACUUCGACUCAGGUCAUGAUCUCACAGUUCGUGAGUUUGAGCCCCAUGUCAGGCU
rnacentral:tRNA from 1 species